rnacentral:rRNA from 1 species
AAAUUGAAGAGUUUGAUCAUGGCUCAGAUUGAACGCUGGCGGCAGGCCUAACACAUGCAAGUCGAACGGUAACAGGAAGAAGCUUGCUUCUUUGCUGACGAGUGGCGGACGGGUGAGUAAUGUCUGGGAAACUGCCUGAUGGAGAGGGAUAACUACUGGAAACGGUAGCUAAUACCGCAUAACGUCGCAAGACCAAAGAGGGGGACCUUCGGGCCUCUUGCCAUCGGAUGUGCCCAGAUGGGAUUAGCUAGUAGGUGGGGUAACGGCUC